rnacentral:rRNA from 1 species
AUUGAACGCUGGCGGCAGGCCUAACACAUACAAGUCGAACGAGUGGCGGACGGGUGAGUAAUGUCUGGGAAACUGCCUGAUGGAGGGGGAUAACUACUGGAAACGGUAGCUAAUACCGCAUACCAUCGGAUGUGCCCAGAUGGGAUUAGCUAGUAGGUGGGGUAAAGGCUCACCUAGGCGACGAUCCCUAGCUGGUCUGAGAGGAUGACCAGCAACACUGGAACUGAGACAGGGCUCAGACGCAUAGGGGAGGCAGCAGGGGGGAAUAUUGCACAGUGGGCGCAAGCCUGAUGCAGCCAUGCCGCGUGUAUGAAGAAGGCCUUCGGGUUGUAAAGUACUUUCAGGGGGGAGGCGUUACCCGCAGAAGAAGCACGGGUAAACUCCGUGCGAGCAGCCGCGGUAAUC